UACGAAGGGGGCUAGCGUUGCUCGGAAUCACUGGGCGUAAAGCGCACGUAGGCGGUCUUUUAAGUCAGGGGUGAAAUCCUGGAGCUCAACUCCAGAACUGCCUUUGAUACUGGGAGACUUGAGUCCGGGAGAGGUGAGUGGAACUGCGAGUGUAGAGGUGAAAUUCGUAGAUAUUCGCAAGAACACCAGUGGCGAAGGCGGCUCACUGGCCCGGUACUGACGCUGAGGUGCGAAAGCGUGGGAG
rnacentral:rRNA from 1 species